CCUCCUCCUCCUCCUCUUCCUCCUCCUCCUCCAGGAGCGGCGGGCAGCGAGGGAAGGACGGGGAGCAGCCCUCCCUCUGGAGCUGGGGCUCGCCGGGUAACCCUUCAGCAGUGCUGUGCUGCCAGAAAUGCUCGCUGAGCCCGUGCGAGGAGGAAAUCUUACCAGAACUGCUGAGAUUAUCCCAGAAAGACCCUUUGCAGAUUGACUCCGCAUCCUCAGAGCUGAUCUGAUCGGGGCCUACCAAAGACAUUAACGACGUCGAAAGUAGCCUACUUUAAGAGAAAAUAUGCAGAAGAAGAACAUUUACAUCAAGAUUACCAUGAGUAUUGUCCAAAACACCUGAUACUACCCGAGGACCGGACUUGUAUUCUAAAACUUUCUCUCCAGAAACUCCGAUUCCUGGACGACCCUGAAGCCUAUCUCCGUAGGUCUGUAUUAAUUAACAAUCUGUUGAGGAAGAUUCAUCUAGAGACAGAGAGGGAGAGCUAUGAAUACUUUAAGGAGGCUCCGUGUUAUAGGACUGCUUACUCUGACGCACGAAAACGGCUGAAGUUUAUGGUACAGGAGUGCUGUUCCCAGUCGCUCUAUUAUGAAGAGCUGCAUUCGUAUCGCAUCGUGCCUUACUCUGCAGAGAACGCCGUUUACGGAAUGGGCUACACGAGCAGCCACUUGGAGCAAAAUUCUCAAUUGCUUAUUUAUAAAAUGAAUUAAAGUAGCUGUUAGACCCACUGAUGUUUGUUUCUGAAUGCUUGAACUGCUUAUUGAGAUGGUAAGAUGAGGCACUAAUUGCAGAUAUACUUGUGAUCAAAGGCGGAUAUGUUCAGAGCUGAGUGGGAGGUACUUUGAAUAAUGCUCUGCAGUUCCUGCUGUUAACCCCCUGGUUAUGAAGUACCUUGACAUACACACAGAGCUGGUGCAAUACGGAGGUCCUUAUCCGCAGAGACUGCGUGCAAUGUGUUUUGUAGAAGCAAAGCUGCAUUUAAGUUACCUGUGUGUAGAUACAGACGUUCAAAAUCACUUUGCAGUUAAAUUAUGCCAUCCCCGGUGAAAGGGGAGCCCCCAAAGCAGUGGAGUAGUCUAACAGUGAGGAGUAAAAUGCAAGUUAUUUUCUGUAAAGGUAGAGAGAGAGUUUCUUUGAGAAAUGCUUUGACCGUGAAGGAGUCAGUGCCAAAGGAAACAGCCUUUUUGCUUAGGAUUUUCAGAGACUUAACUCGCUUGCUACUUACAAGACACUCUAUACUGAGAUUUGCAAGGGUUUGAUUUUUUAAAAAAAUAGUUGCAUUCACCUUUUACUUAUAUUAUCUCUUAGCUGGUAUCUACUUUGCUAUUUUAAUGCAAACAAGUAUGACUCGCAGGAAAGAUUGUUUCUUCAGCCCAUCAUCAGUGUUUCCUUAACUUCAUUUGAUUCUUUCCCUAGCUGUUCCCCUGAUACUUCUUUGCAUGCUAAUUUGCUCUUUGGCCAGAGGUUCACAUUGGUGCUAGGGAAUAGACAGUAAUUUCUUUUUAAGUGGAAUAUAAAAGGCAGAAAAACAAUGAUAACUCUCAGAGAAUGAAUGUAUCAUCUGACAGAUGCUAGUAAAACCUCAGAGGUUCUCCUGAUGAAACUGCUCAGCAUUAGUAAUAGUGUUUCAGGUUAAGUGAAAUGUCUAAUUUUGAUCUGGGAAUUAACCUUAGAAUAUGUAAAUAUAUAUUUCACAAGCUAUGACAUGAGAGACGUUCAGCAAAUCGAUGACUACAAGUGGAAAGUUUUAUAGCUGCCGAAGCUAUGUCAUGAAAAUACCAAAGAGUAAUAUAAGGGAAAAGAUGGUGCUCCAGCAAUGGGGUCAAAAGCAAAGAUUGCACUAUAACCUGGGGAAAUGUGAUUAACGAGCCUGUAAACGAUACACUUGCAGUUCACCUGCGGGUGAUUUGCAUCCCAGAAUUGCUGAACAAAUAUACGAGAUGAUCCAAAGCCUGUCAGAGUCCUACAGGUCUGUUGGCUUACAGUGAAGAAACCAGCUUUGCCUCGCUGGCUGUCACCACUUUAAAGCUUUAAAGCAAAGUAAAUAGUAGCGCACACUCAGCUGGAGGCAGAUAUAUAUCUAAGAACCUAAUUUUUUAUUUUGAAAGGCUUUGCUCAUGCAGAUGUGGCUGAUGCUAUUUCCGAAGCGUUACACAGUACGAACAAAUACCAUUGCUUGCCAGGGACGUGCUUCGUGUAGGAUUCCUCCUGCAACCCUGCUUCGAGCAUCCUAGUCGUGUGCGUUGCACAUAUCAUCGCAGCUCUCAGGCACGUGUUAGUGCAGGAGAAAAGACAGAAGGGCGAAAGCGGGAGGUGUGAAGAGCAAAGUUAACUCUGAUAUCAGUAGUUAGAAGCCAAUACGGGUUUAGCAGACAGAAGGAAACAGUGAAAUCCAGAUAUUUUUUUAAAGAAAAAAAAAAGGCAACAGUCUAAUUCAAAACAAGGAUAACCUGCAAACUGGAGAACAUAAACAGCACAGAUAUUGUGGGAAGGCUGGAAAAACAGGGCAGUGCUGUUUGGGAGGUGCUGUUAGUCAUGAUGAAUAUUCAGGUUUUUGUUUUUAUUUUGAGACAAGGCAUAUUUACUUGUCUUUUACAAAAGGGUGUCUUUAAAGCCUCGGUCAGUGUAAUUCGGUGUCAGAGCUGCUUGGCUAUGAGGUUAUACUCCUGCUGCCCCUGGGCUUGCACCAGCCCAAAAUCUUGUGAACGAUUAAGCUUGCAUUUGGCAUAGUUUGAGAAAUCUCCAGCUAAAAGUGGCCGUGCCCAUCUCGACAGGGGCCAGGUGAGAAAAGCCAGGCUAAUUACCAGGUGUGCGGAGCAGCCCUAAUACCGCCGGUAAAAGCUGGCAGCGAAACCCAUCUGCUGUGUGGGAUGUGGGCUGAUGAUAUGAUGGCUGUUGUGAGAGGUGCCAUUAUCCCCCAGAGAGCUCUCUGGCCUCUGCUGGCACCUUGCACGCCUCAUGCGGACUUAGGGGCUGGGGUAGCGACAUUAGAAGACUGCUAGGUGGUAAAGGAAAAUUACUUCUGUCUUCUGAUUUUUCAAAGUAUGUAAUUUUCCGCUCUGAAGCGAUCUGAUUUAUGCGUAUUUUUUUCUUCGUGUCCAUUUUCGCCUGAAUUCAUAAUGAUCUAGCAGCUACAUGAUAUGCUAAAAUGCUUUUUUUCCACUCACUGACCUACUUUAUUAUAUUCAUAGGAUGGUUCUGGCCUGAAUAAACAAAACUUUUUAAGUAAAAUUAAUAAUGUUUCAAUGGAAUGAAAAACUCAGUAGGAUUAAAGCCUUUAACCUCACCUGAAAAAACCCAUUGCCCGUCAGCUUCAUCUUGAAGAGUAACUUCUUUGCCUGCUGGAAGAGGCAGAUACCUUCUUGCCUAUUGAAAGCUUCUUUGAUAAGGUUUUAGGAUAACUGAAUAGAUAACAGACGAAAAUCUGGAUCAGAUAAUAAAACUCAUUGGGCUCCCUGCGAAAGAAGAUGAUAUUUUACCAUGUUUUUCUCAUGUGCUGUUUUUUUGAACAAAAAAACAGUCUUUUUUUUUUAUUUCUACUUGCUCUAGGAGCUGUUAAAAUGGAUUAUUUCUUUCUAGAAAACAAAUUGGUUUUUUAUGGUUGACUUCUUGAUAUGAAAUUGAAUCAAAAGUCCACAAUUCUAAAUAUUUUGUCUGCUCAAGUUUUUACUGCCUUCUGCUUUGCACAGUGAUUUGUGCUAUUGAAAAGUGGCUCUGAAAUAUUCUACCUUAGUGCUUAAAACCCGUAGUUUAUGGGGUGAUAAAGAAGUACAAAGGUGCAAUAACAUUGCAAGUUACUCCCCAAAUAUUUAAUUUGACACUUUUUGAAUUAUAUACUGAUUUUAACAUUUAGUUACCAAGUUACCGGGUACCAGAAUUUUAACAGAGCUACCAACAGUGAUUUUUCUUUUUUGGGUUUGUAGCUACAAUUCAGCUCUUCUGGCUUCUGAUGUGUGAAUCUGUCUGUAGGUGGUCAACUUUCAGUGAUAGAUAUAGAUAUAUAUAUAUAUUCUAUUAUGACUGCAUUAGGAACUCCCACAUAUGGGCUAUGUUUGCACUGGAUGUAAAGAAAGUCCUUCCUUCCCUUUGACUCAGUUGCCUUGGAGAUAGUAUGUUCAUCAGAGAGAAUAUAGACAAGCUGGGUGACAAGGACAGACUUGGUAAUGAUAGCUGAUCAUUUUGAAAACGACUGGCUUAGGACAAUUCAUUUUCGUCUCGGAAUAGCAACGCGCUUGACUGUAAUUAGUGUUUCGAUGAGUUGAGUUUUCUUCGUGCCGCUUUUCCCUGACUGGCUGUAAAUGCCGGGCCCGAUUCUGGAUGCAGAAGGGGCGGUGGUGGCUCGGUGGGAGGCACGGCGUGGGCGCGUGGGGUCACUUUCUGGAGCUGCAGGAGCUGUGGCUGUGCACAGCCUGGUGCAGACACCCCAACGUAUACUGGGGCCCUGAUCCUGUAAACGCUUCAGUUAUCACCUAAGUUUCUGUGCACAGAUCCUCUUGCCGAAGCCGGAGAGGCUCCUCGUGUACUUGACGCUCAGCACGUGUAUGAGCGUGUGCGGGGCCGGGGCUGCUGUGCACCGCAGAAGUACUCCUCAAUUGCCUAAUUAUCGGUGAAAGUGAUUAUGGAGCUGCCGCUUGAGUUCUUGAAUACAUUUAUAUUGCACUGUAAAUUGAACUUUUGUUUUCAAUGAAUGUGUUGAGUAUAUGGACUAUUGUGCCUUAAAGUCCCAUCCUCAUAUGAGCCUUUGUAUAUGUUCUGUAAAUCUGCAAACUGUCUAUAGCUGGUAACUCUGUGCACUCUAUACAGAUUGGGUUCGGUACUCGGCAGGGCCUUGGGAAACACGACCCUGACUUCAGUUUGCCAUGAGCACAGGGGGGAUAUGGCAAUUCCCUCUCCUCUUGUUUUUUAGAUUGCUUUCCUCUUCGCUGUUCAUGAAAUUCUGUUUUUCUGGUUUCUGUCGUAGCUGGGUUCUGGGUUACCUACAACGCCAGGUGCCCUUCACGGGAACUCAGAAAGUUGUAAAAAAGUUGUCUCCAGCUUUUAAACGCCAUCUGUACAGCGCGCUCUCAGCAGGGAAUCACAAUUGCAUAUAACUGUGGCAGGUGUUGUCAAGUAUAUCAUCAUAUAUUUGACAUGAUUAACAAAGCAGAAAAGGGAACACCUAUUUCUAUUGAAAUGCAUGAGCCUGCAUUAUGUUAAAUACAUGGUGAUUAUACACCACUUAAUUGGAAUAAUACCUACUGGUUCUGUAGUAAAAAAAUGGCUUUUUAAUGUUUAAAAUUACUUGGGACCUGAUUAAAGGUUUUUAUGAAAUUGUUUUCUAAAGUGAAUAGUAGAAAAAUGUAUAUGUAUUUUAAAUAUACAUAUGAUGUGCAUGUUAUUAAUAAAGAUCUAUUUCUAUUGAA